GUAGCUUGCUACCUGACCUAGCGGCGGACGGGUGAGUAAUGCUUAGGAAUCUGCCUAUUAGUGGGGGACAACAUUCCGAAAGGAAUGCUAAUACCGCAUACGCCCUACGGGGGAAAGCAGGGGAUCUUCGGACCUUGCGCUAAUAGAUGAGCCUAAGUCAGAUUAGCUAGUUGGUGGGGUAAAGGCCUACCAAGGCGACGAUCUGUAGCGGGUCUGAGAGGAUGAUCCGCCACACUGGGACUGAGACACGGCCCAGACUCCUACGGGAGGCAGCAGUGGGGAAUAUUGGACAAUGGGCGCAAGCCUGAUCCAGCCAUGCCGCGUGUGUGAAGAAGGCCUUUUGGUUGUAAAGCACUUUAAGCGAGGAGGAGGCUACUUGGAUUAAUACUCUAGGAUAGUGGACGUUACUCGCAGAAUAAGCACCGGCUAACUCUGUGCCAGCAGCCGCGGUAAUACAGAGGGUGCGAGCGUUAAUCGGAUUUACUGGGCGUAAAGCGUGCGUAGGCGGCUUCUUAAGUCGGAUGUGAAAUCCCUGAGCUUAACUUAGGAAUUGCAUUCG
rnacentral:rRNA from 1 species